rnacentral:tRNA from 1 species
GCAUCGGUGGUCUAGUGGUUAGGAUUGCUCGACUUUCAAUGCGAGCGGCCCGGGUUCGAUUCCCGGCCGAUGCA